rnacentral:tRNA from 1 species
ACUUAGAUAGUUUAAUUGGUUAAAACAACUGUCUCAUAUAUAGUUAAUAUAGGUUCAAUCCCUAUUCUAAGUA